CAGUCGCCGCGGUAAGACAGAGGAUGCAAGCGUUAUCCGGAUUUAUUGGGCGUAAAGCGAGCGCAGGCGGUUAGAUAAGUCUGAAGUUAAAGGCUGUGGCUUAACCAUAGUACGCUUUGGAAACUGUUUAACUUGAGUGCAAGAGGGGAGAGUGGAAUUCCAUGUGUAGCGGUGAAAUGCGUAGAUAUAUGGAGGAACACCGGUGGCGAAAGCGGCUCUCUGGCUUGUAACUGACGCUGAGGCUCGAAAGCGUGGGGAGCAAACAGGAUUAGAUACCCGCGUAGUCCCUGUCUCUUAUACA
rnacentral:rRNA from 1 species